rnacentral:rRNA from 1 species
UACGGAGGGGGCGAGCGUUGUUCGGAAUCACUGGGCGUAAGGCGUGCGUAGGCGGUUAUGCAAGUCAGAAGUGAAAUCCCAGGGCUCAACCUUGGAAUUGCUUUUGAGACUGUAUGACUAGAGAUCUAGAGAGGUUGGGGGAAUUCUGAGUGUAGAGGUGAAAUUCGCAGAUAUUCGGAGGAACACCAGUGGCGUAGGCGCCCAACUGGCUAGAUACUGACGCUGAGGCACGAAAGCGUGGGGAGCAAACAGGAUUAGAAACCCC